UUUUUGUUCAGGACGAACGCUGGCGGGUGCCUAAUACAUGCAAGUAGAACGCUGAAGGAGGAGCUUGCUUCUCUGGAUGAGUUGCGAACGGGUGAGUAACGCGUAGGUAACCUGCCUGGUAGCGGGGGAUAACAUUGGAAACGAUAGCUAAUACCGCAUAAGAGUGGAUGUUGCAUGACAUUUGCUUAAAAGGUGCACUUGCAUCACUACCAGAUGGACCUGCGUUGUAUUAGCUAGUUGGUGGGGUAACGGCUCACCAAGGCGACGAUACAUAGCCGACCUGAGAGGGUGAUCGGCCACACUGGGACUGAGACACGKCCCAGACUCCUACGGGAGGCAGCAGUAGGGAAUCUUCGGCAAUGGACGGAAGUCUGACCGAGCAACGCCGCGUGAGUGAAGAAGGUUUUCGGAUCGUAAAGCUCUGUUGUAAGAGAAGAACGAGUGUGAGAGUGGAAAGUUCACACUGUGACGGUAUCUUACCAGAAAGGGACGGCUAACUACGUGCCAGCAGCCGCGGUAAUACGUAGGUCCCGAGCGUUGUCCGGAUUUAUUGGGCGUAAAGCGAGCGCAGGCGGUUAGAUAAGUCUGAAGUUAAAGGCUGUGGCUUAACCAUAGUAGGCUUGGAAACUGUUUAACUUGAGUGCAAGAGGGGAGAGUGGAAUUCCAUGUGUAGCGGUGAAAUGCGUAGAUAUAUGGAGGAACACCGGUGGCGAAAGCGGCUCUCUGGCUUGUAACUGACGCUGAGGCUCGAAAGCGUGGGGAGCAAACAGGAUUAGAUACCCUGGUAGUCCACGCUGUAAACGAUGAGUGCUAGGUGUUAGACCCUUUCCGGGGUUUAGUGCCGUAGCUAACGCAUUAAGCACUCCGCCUGGGGAGUACGACCGCAAGGUUGAAACUCAAAGGAAUUGACGGGGGCCCGCACAAGCGGUGGAGCAUGUGGUUUAAUUCGAAGCAACGCGAAGAACCUUACCAGGUCUUGACAUCCCUCUGACCGCUCUAGAGAUAGAGUUUUCCUUCGGGACAGAGGUGACAGGUGGUGCAUGUGUCGUCAGCUCGUGUCGUGAGAUGUUGGGUUAAGUCCCGCAACGAGCGCAACCCCUAUUGUUAGUUGCCAUCAUUCAGUUGGGCACUCUAGCGAGACUGCCGGUAAUAAACCGGAGGAAGGUGGGGAUGACGUCAAAUCAUCAUGCCCCUUAUGACCUGGGCUACACACGUGCUACAAUGGCUGGUACAACGAGUCGCAAGCCGGUGACGGCAAGCUAAUCUCUUAAAGCCAGUCUCAGUUCGGAUUGUAGGCUGCAACUCGCCUACAUGAAGUCGGAAUCGCUAGUAAUCGCGGAUCAGCACGCCGCGGUGAAUACGUUCCCGGGCCUUGUACACACCGCCCGUCACACCACGAGAGUUUGUAACACCCGAAGUCGGUGAGGUAACCGUAAGGAGCCAGCCGCCUAAGGUGGGAUAGAUGAUUGGGGUGAAGUCGUAACAAGGUCAGCCGUUUGGGAGA
rnacentral:rRNA from 1 species